AAGGAGUCUAACACAUGUGCGAGUAUUUGAGUGUCAAACUCGAAUGCGUAAUGAAAAUGACUGAUGGGAACUUUUUGUGCACCAUCAACCAAUCUUUUAAUGAAUAGAUUUGAGUAAGAGCAUAUUUGUUGGGACCCGAAAGAUGGUGAACUAUGCCUGAAUAGGGUGAAGCCAGAGGAAACUCUGGUGGAGGCUCGUAGGGGUUCUGACGUGCAAAUCGAUCUUCAAAUUUGGGUAUAGGGGCGAAAGACUAAUCGAACCAUCUAGUAGCUGGUUCCCUC
rnacentral:misc_RNA from 1 species